AGUAACGAGGUCCAGCGUCAAGCCCUGACUGUGCUGGCCGGCAACCCUCUUCACGGCGGGGUGCCUCAGGUGACUACUCGGCAGUGUUCAUUUGGUUCAUUUGCAAGCGUGAUCA
rnacentral:ncRNA from 1 species